rnacentral:rRNA from 1 species
CGGAACGUACCCUGGAGUGGGGGAUAACGUAACGAAAGUUACGCUAAUACCGCAUACGAUCUAAGGAUGAAAGUGGGGGAUUCGCAAGAACCUCAUGCUCGUGGAGCGGCCGAUAUCUGAUUAGCUAGUUGGUAGGGUAAAAGCCUACCAAGGCAUCGAUCAGUAGCUGGUCUGAGAGGACGACCACCCACACUGGAACUGACACACGGUCCACACUCCUACGGGAGGCAGCAGUGGGUAUUUUUGGACAAUGGGCGCAAGCCUGAUCCAGCAAUGCCGCGUGAGUGAAGAAGGCCUUCGGGUUGUAAAGCUCUUUUGUCAGGAAAGAAACGGUGGGAGCUAAUAUCUCCUGCUAAUGACGGUACCUGAAAAAUAAGCACCGGCUAACUACGUGCCAGCACCCGCGGUAAUACGUAGGGUGCAAGCGUUAAUCGGAAUUACUGGGCGUAAAGCGUGCGCAGGCGGUUUUGUAAGUCUGAUGUGAAAUCCCCGGGCUCAACCUGGGAAUUGCAUUGGAGACUGCAAGGCUAGAAUCUGGCAGAGGGGGGUAUAAUUCCACGUGUAGCAGUGAAAUGCAUAUAUAUGUGGAGGAACACCGAUGGCGAAGGCAGCCCCCUGGGUCAAGAUUGACGCUCAUGCACGAAAGCGUGGGGAGCAAACAGGAUUACAUACCCUGGUAGUCCACGCCCUAAACGAUGUCUACUAUUUGUCGGGUCUUAAUUGACUUGG